UACAGAGGUCUCAAGCGUUGUUCGGAUUCAUUGGGCGUAAAGGGUGCGUAGGUGGCGCCGUAAGUCGGGUGUGAAAUUUCGGAGCUUAACUCCGAAACUGCAUUCGAUACUGCGGUGCUUGAGGACUGGAGAGGAGACUGGAAUUCAUGGUGUAGCAGUGAAAUGCGUAGAGAUCAUGGGGAAGACCAGUGGCGAAGGCGGGUCUCUGGACAGUUCCUGACACUGAGGCACGAAGGCCAGGGGAGCAAACGGG
rnacentral:rRNA from 1 species